UGCCUCAAAGAGGGGGACAACAGUUGGAAACGACUGCUAAUACCGCAUAAGCCCACGGCUCGGCAUCGAGCAGAGGGAAAAGGAGCAAUCCGCUUUGAGAUGGCCUCGCGUCCGAUUAGCUAGUUGGUGAGGUAAUGGCCCACCAAGGCAACGAUCGGUAGCCGGACUGAGAGGUUGAACGGCCACAUUGGGACUGAGACACGGCCCAGACUCCUACGGGAGGCAGCAGUGGGGAAUAUUGCACAAUGGGGGAAACCCUGAUGCAGCGACGCCGCGUGGAGGAAGAAGGUCUUCGGAUUGUAAACUCCUGUUGUUGGGGAAGAUAAUGACGGUACCCAACAAGGAAGUGACGGCUAACUACGUGCCAGCAGCCGCGGUAAAACGUAGGUCACAAGCGUUGUCCGGAAUUACUGGGUGUAAAGGGAGCGCAGGCGGGAAGACAAGUUGGAAGUGAAAUCUAUGGGCUCAACCCAUAAACUGCUUUCAAAACUGUUUUUCUUGAGUAGUGCAGAGGUAGGCGGAAUUCCCGGUGUAGCGGUGGAAUGCGUAGAUAUCGGGAGGAACACCAGUGGCGAAGGCGGCCUACUGGGCACCAACUGACGCUGAGGCUCGAAAGUGUGGGUAGCAAACAGGAUUAGAUACCCUGGUAGUCCACACCGUAAACGAUGAUUACUAGGUGUUGGGGGAUUGACCCCCUCAGUGCCGCAGUUAACACAAUAAGUAAUCCACCUGGGGAGUA
rnacentral:rRNA from 1 species